UACGUAGGUGGCGAGCGUUGUCCGGAUUUACUGGGCGUAAAGAGCGCGCAGGCGGCUUGUCAAGUCCGAUGUGAAAGCUCCCGGCUUAACUGGGAAAUUGCAUCGGAAACUGAUCGGCUGGAAGGUGGGAGAGGGUAGCGGAAUUCCCGGUGUAGUGGUGAAAUGCGUAGAUAUCGGGAGGAACACCAGUGGCGAAGGCGGCUACCUGGCCCGUUCUUGACGCUGAGGCGCGAAAGCUAGGGGAGCAAACGGG
rnacentral:rRNA from 1 species